rnacentral:lncRNA from 1 species
AAUCUGGCAACCUGAGGCUGAGCGUGCGCCAGCGCCAGACACGUGGUGGAGGAGUGAGGAUGUGACGUGAGAAAAGGAAUGCGGGAAGAAGGCGACACACGAACGCGGGCAAUGACUCAAAUGGGUCUGACCGCGAGGUUUUUGCCCUGCCACGGUGUAGCUGAGUUAUCCGGAGUACCAGGUUAUCGAGUGCUGAAUUUUUGGGACUCUACUGUAAUAAUAAUAGACAAUGAAAUAUUGAAUCCUUUAAAAUGGUAUAAUUUCCAGAUUUGUUCCCAGUCCUCAAAGUCUAAAAUCAUUCAGAAUUGAACCUGGAUCCCCAAGGUAGUAAGUAAUUUUUAAUAAACAAAAAGAGAAUUUUUAGUCAGUAUGUUAUAAAAAUAGCCAAGUUCAGAAUAUUG